UACGGGGGGAGCAAGCGUUGUUCGGAUUUACUGGCGUAAAGGGCGCGUAGGCGGCGUGACAAGUCACUUGUGAAAUCUCCGGGCUUAACUCGGAACGGUCAAGUGAUACUGUCGUGCUAGAGUACAGAAGGGGCAACUGGAAUUCUCGGUGUAGCGGUGAAAUGCGCAGAUAUCAGGAGGAACACCGGUGGCGAAGGCGGGUCUCUGGGCCGUAACUGACGCUGAGGAGCGAAAGCAUGGGGAGCGAACAGG
rnacentral:rRNA from 1 species